AAACUUUCAACAACGGAUCUCUUGGUUCUGGCAUCGAUGAAGAACGCAGCGAAAUGCGAUAAGUAAUGUGAAUUGCAGAAUUCAGUGAAUCAUCGAAUCUUUGAACGCACAUUGCGCCCCUUGGUAUUCCGGGGGGCAUGCCUGUUCAAGCGUCAUU
rnacentral:rRNA from 1 species